rnacentral:rRNA from 1 species
UUGAUGUUCUAACGUGGACCCGUAAUCCGGGUUGCGGACAGUGUCUGGUGGGUAGUUUGACUGGGGCGGUCUCCUCCUAAAGAGUAACGGAGGAGCACGAAGGUUGGCUAAUCCUGGUCGGACAUCAGGAGGUUAGUGCAAUGGCAUAAGCCAGCUUGACUGCGAGCGUGACGGCGCGAGCAGGUGCGAAAGCAGGUCAUAGUGAUCCGGUGGUUCUGAAUGGAAGGGCCAUCGCUCAACGGAUAAAAGGUACUCCGGGGAUAACAGGCUGAUACCGCCCAAGAGUUCAUAUCGACGGCGGUGUUUGGCACCUCGAUGUCGGCUCAUCACAUCCUGGGGCUGAAGUAGGUCCCAAGGGUAUGGCUGUUCGCCAUUUAAAGUGGUACGCGAGCUGGGUUUAGAACGUCGUGAGACAGUUCGGUCCCUAUCUGCCGUGGGCGCUGGAGAACUGAGGGGGGCUGCUCCUAGUACGAGAGGACCGGAGUGGACGCAUCACUGGUGUUCGGGUUGUCAUGCCAAUGGCACUGCCCGGUAGCUAAAUGCGGAAGAGAUAAGUGCUGAAAGCAUCUAAGCACGAAACUUGCCCCGAGAUGAGUUCUCCCUGAGACUUAGAGUCUCCUGAAGGAACGUUGAAGACGACGACGUUGAUAGGCCGGGUGUGUAAGCGCAGCGAUGCGUUGAGCUAACCGGUACUAAUGAACCGUGAGGCUUAACCUUACAACGCCGAAGGUGUUU